UUUCGGUACACGUGCAAUCUCUCUUUUACAAAGCCAUAGCAAUCCCCAAUUAUUUAUGUGUCUUCGGCCAAAAUCCGACUUUAUCACAUUCCGGGGGGCCCACAUUUCUUUAUAAAAAAAUAAUAAGCAUAAAUAUCGUUCCGAUCUCUCCAGGAUGUUUACGACAUACAUUUCCUUUCCUUCCAAUGCAGGAGAAUAAAAAAUGUCGGACUUCGACGACAAGAGUGGAGUUGUUCCAUGCAAAACGUCGUGGGGACAAUGGUGGCAGACAAUCGACGAAGUGUUUAUAGAGGUUGACGUCCCAAAAGACACCAAAUCAAGAGAAAUAAAGUGCGAAAUCAAGCCGAACAGCAUUCGCGUAGCAGUGAAGGAAAACACAAUUAUUAAUGGUUACUUAGCAGAGACUGUAAAAGCAGAUGAUUCUCUGUGGACUUUAGAGGACAGGAGGUUGAUGAGGAUUUGCCUGGUAAAAUGCCAUGCUACUGCAGCUGACUGUUGGAAGUCCCUCAUCAGAGGCCAGUACGAAGUGGAUCCCCUGACGCUGAGUGAGAUGGAGAAGAAGCUGACCCUGCAGCGCUUCCAGAUGGAGAACCCAGGAUUUGACUUCAGUGGGGCAGAGGUAACUGGCAACUAUUCAGGUGGAGGACCACAGCUGUCUGCAUCGUGACGUAGGGGUUUGAUCAUAAAGGACAGAGGAGGACCACAGCUGUCUGCAUCAUCACACAGGGCUUUGAUCAUAAAGAACAGGAGAUGACCACAGCUGUCUGCAUCAUCACAGGGGUUUGAUCAUAGAGAAGAGAGCAUGACCGUAGCUGUCUGCAUCAUGGCACAGGGCUUUGAUCAUAGAGGAAAGAGCAUGACUGUAGCUGUCUGCAUCAUCACACAGGGCUUUGAUCAAAAAGAACAGGAGAUGACCACAGCUGUCUGCAUCAUCACAGGGGUUUGAUCAUAAAGGACGGGAUGAGAGUAGCUGUCUGCAUCAUCACAGGGGUUUGAUCAUAGAGGAGAGAGUAUGACCGUAGCUGUCUGCAUCAUCACACAUGGGUUUGAUCAUAAAGGACGGGAUGAGAGUAGCUGUCUGCAUCAUCACAGGGGUUUGAUCAUAGAGGAGAGAGCAUGACCGUAGCUUUCUGCAUCAUCACACAGGGGUUUGAUCAUAAAGGACGGGAUGAGAGUAGCUGUCUGCAUCAUCACAGGGAUUUGAUCAUAGAGAAGAGAGCAUGACUGUAGCUGUCUGCAUCGUGGCACGGGUAUGAUCAUAGAGAAGAGAGCAUGACUGUAGCUGUCUGCAUCGUGGCACGGGUAUGAUCAUAGAGAAGAGAGCAUGACUGUAGCUGUCUGCAUCGUGGCACGGGUAUGAUCAUAGAGAAGAGAGCAUGACUGUAGCUGUCUGCAUCGUGGCACGGGUAUGAUCAUAGAGAAGAGAGCAUGACUGUAGCUGUCUGCAUCGUGGCACGGGUAUGAUCAUAGAGAAGAGAGCAUGACUGUAGCUGUCUACGUCGUGGCACGGAUAUGAUCAUAAAGAACAGGGAUGACCACAGCUGUCUGCAUCGUCACACAUGUUUGAUCAUAAAGGAGAGAGCAUGACCGUAGCUGUCUGCAUCAUCACAGGGGUUUGUCAUGCAAGUACUGAAAACGGUUGUCCCCAAUGAGAGAUGCAUUAGUACAGUGAGUCUAACCUUUGACAGGAAAAAAACAACUGCCUGUCUUCCUUCCAUCAUCUGUGUUGAGAAUGAUGAGGGCUACGAGGGACUAUGCGGUCAUCCUAAGUGCAUUCAACAGGUAUACUUCACUCUGGCCAGAUUUCUGCUGGUGAAGCAAUCACAAGGAACUGUUUCCUGUUAACCAAUUUGUGUCUUUAUCAUCCAUAUCAAUGUUUUUAUAACAAUUUUUAAAUUAUCAUUUAUGACUGUGUCUCAUAUCAAGAUGGAGUCAAACAUUGAAAUGAUUCUAAUGUACCUAUUGGAGGAAUUUAAAAGCUAAUUUUAUACUUUGCCAUUAAACUAAUAUGAUUAUUAUUAGAUUUAUUAUUGUU